GGAACUCUGAAGGACACUGAUGACUUAAUGUUCCUAUCAAAAGGAGCCAGUUCCCACAGCCACCAGAGGAGUGCCCCAAUGCUGGGCUGCCCUCCAGAAAUGCUGUGUAGCCAGAAGCACCCAUGGCCGCCUGAACUAGGUGGGCAGUGCCAGAGGUUCCAUUCACGAGUGGGACACUCACGACAGCAAAAGCAACCAACCCCAGACAGUAAUUCUGAUUGGCUGCCUCUGAUACUAGAAGGAAGGAGCUGUGUCCCCUGGACGCCAGUACUCCUUGGACGUUUCCUGAGCACUCACACUGAGGUCUGGAACAAUCAAGCAGGACAAGGCACUAGGCUCAAACUGGCAUCGAUGACACUCUGGGCCCUCGUGCUAAGGGUAUCUGGCGUUUGUCUGGGGCUCCCGUUCUGCAUGGUUCCUACCCUGCUAGCGAGAGAGGAGCGGGAGAUACGGGAGGCAGCAGAGGUUGCUGAGGCUGGAAGCCCGAGUCUGAGUCCACCACUGACCGGCUCUGAGAGUCUCUCUGCGCUCCAGUUCCACCUUUGUGAGACAGCAGUACUAUAACUACCGGCUUCAUAAAACCACUGGGAACACUAAAUGAGAAUAAAACAGGUGGCACAGCACCUGGC